GAUCCUGGCUCAGGAUGAACGCUGGCGGCGUGCCUAACACAUGCAAGUCGAGCGAGAAAUUCACAAUCAAAUCUUCGGAAGAGAGAGUGAAUGGAAAGCGGCGGACGGGUGAGUAACGCGUAGGUAACCUGCCCUGUACAGAGGGAUAGCCACUGGAAACGGUGAUUAAUACCUCAUAACACCGAGAAUUCACAUGAAAAUUCGGUCAAAGAUUUAUCGGUACAGGAUGGACCUGCGU
rnacentral:rRNA from 1 species